rnacentral:tRNA from 1 species
GCUUUGAGAAGCUAUUGAGCAUUGGUCUUGUAAACCAAAGAUAAGAAAAACCUCUCCAAAGCA